UCUUUGGUCACGUGAACAAAGAUGUUUAUGUUGGUGGAAGUUUUACUAAAGUCGCCGGUGGCAUGAGAGUGGAUGAUCCCUGGCGCAUAUCCUGACGGCGCCGUUAGUAUAUAAGAGAAAGGGGCGAGGCGAAAAGUAAAAAUACACUACAAUGGGGAAAAACGGAGCAAAUCGCAGCGUGCAGGUGGAGAGCGAGUAUGAGCCUAUCGGAGAAGAGAGCAGACCCCUAUUAGCGCCGCCGCAGGAUGUUCAGGUUAAAGGUGCAUCGUUCGCCUCAUCUGCCUUUAAUCUAAUGAAUGCCAUCAUGGGGAGUGGCAUCCUGGGGCUCGCAUAUGCCAUGGCCAAUACGGGUAUCAUCGGGUUUAGUAUUCUUUUACUGGUGGUCUCCAGUUUGGCUGCUUACUCGAUACAUCUCCUACUGCUCCUUUGUGACAAAACAGGCAUCAGCUCAUAUGAAGCUCUUGGAGAGAAAGCCUUCAACAGACCCGGCAAGAUCUUGGUGGCCUGUACUAUUCUGAUUCAGAACAUUGGAGCCAUGUCCACGUACAUGUUCAUCUUAAAGUCUGAAAUUCCUGCCACCAUCACCAGUUUCAUGAGCACAGAGGUUUCUGGAAAGUGGUACGAGGACGGAGUUAUACUGUUAAUUUUAAUCACUGUAUUUGUGGUCCUGCCAUUGGCUCUACUACCCAAGAUUGGUUUCUUGGGAUACACCAGCAGUCUUGCAUUCCUUUUCAUGUUGUUUUUUACUAUAGUGGUGGUGAUCAAAAAAUGGUCCAUUCCUUGCCCGCUGCCAGUCAAUUCAACUGUGAGCCUGAUCUUAAAUACCUCUGAAUGCACCCCACAGCUGUUUGUGAUCUCUAGUAAGAGUGCUUAUGCCAUUCCCACAAUGGCUUUCUCCUUCUUGUGCCAUACUACGGUUUUACCCAUUUACUGUGAAUUACACAGGCCCACUAAACGGAGAAUGCAGAAUGUGACGAAUGUCAGCAUCUUUCUUAGUUUGGUGCUUUAUCUGAUCUCUGCACUUUUUGGCUACCUCACCUUCUAUGCACAUGUAGACUCCGAGCUAUUGAUGGGAUAUGAUACCUACCUGCCAAGAGAUGCUUUGGUGAUGUCAGUGCGUUUUGCAAUCUUAUUGGCUGUCCUGCUUACUGUGCCCCUCAUUCAUUUUCCAACACGUAAGUCACUGUUGAUGUUAUGCAGUGGAGCAGGAGAUUUCUCCUGGCUCUCUCACUGUCUUUCCUGUUUUUUCAUCCUAUCUCUUGUGCUGCUGCUCGCCAUCUUCGUCCCUGACAUCAAGAACGUCUUCGGUGUAGUGGGUAAGUGUGUGUGCAUACUUUCUGUGUGUGCUUUACAGAUGUUUACGUGUGUAUGCCAUAGGGGUGUCAUGAUUCUCCAAAUCCUCAAAUCAAUAAAAUUUUCGAUUCUAAGGCCUCGGUUCAAUUCUGGAUAUUUACUUUUUAUUUUUUUUAUUUUGAAGCACAAAAAUGUUCUAUGCCAUUUUUAGACUAGACUUUUAUGAAAUAUAAUACCUGACCUUGAACCCGGAGAUGCCCUGCCAUGUUAGUCGUGCUGCCAGUGGAAAAAUAUGGUAUACGCACAUACCUGAUAAAACAAAACUUCCUGUCAGAUGAACAUCUUUCAGUACUUUGCACCAUAAAAACACGCUUUUAUUACCGCCAGACAAGAUUGUGAGACUAUACCCCAAUAAGUCAUGUUUAAAUGCUGUUUUCAUAACUCUUAAGCAUCUGAAAUAAGUUGUUGUGAAACUUAAACAGAUCUCAGUUCAGAGAAACGAUCGGUCCUGUCACAGACUCCGCUUUGCUGUGCAUGCGCGCUUGCUCUGAGUUCAGCUGAAGGCAGGAGGCGCUUGCUGUUUUUUGUUUCCCAUGUAAAGAGCAGCUCGCGUGGUGUCUCCUGCAUCUGCCAUGCUAUCUUUUGACUGGCUGUAGCUAGCAAAGUUGGAGGAGGUUGACUCGCAUCACUCAACACAUGUUUUUUUCCCACUUGGCAAGCUGACCGAACGUCACAUGGGGGCGUGGCAGCAUCGACAAUUCCAUUUUUUUAUUCGAAGUUCGAGGUUGUGACACCCUUAGUAUGCCAGCACAACUGUCUAUUGUGUGUUUGCAGGAUCGACGACCUCAACGUGUUUAUUGUUUGUGUAUCCGGGAAUGUUUUAUUUGAGAAUCAGCUCUGAACCAAUCAAAUCUCUCAAUUCAGCAGGGGCUGUGUCUCUAUUGGUGAUUGGCCUGGUUGUGGGUGUUUUGAGUCUGUGUGUC